GUGCCAGCCGCCGCGGUAAUUCCAGCUCCAAUAGCGUAUAUUAAAGUUGUUGUGGUUAAAAAGCUCGUAGUUGAACCUUGGGCCUGGCUGGCCGGUCCGCCUCACCGCGUGCACUGGUCCGGCCGGGCCUUUCCCUCUGUGGAACCCCAUACCCCUCACUGGGCGUGGCGGGGAAACAGGACAUUUACUUUGAAAAAAUUAGAGUGCUCCAGGCAGGCCUAUGCUCGAAUACAUUAGCAUGGAAUAAUAAAAUAGGACGCGCGGUUCUAUUUUGUUGGUUUAUAGGACCGCCGUAAUGAUUAAUAGGGACAGUCGGGGGCAUCAGUAUUCAACUGUCAGAGGUGAAAUUCUUGGAUCAGUUGAAGGCUAACUACUGCGAAAGCAUUUGCCAAGGAUGUUUUCAUUAAUCAGGAACGAAAGUUAGGGGAUCGAAGACGAUCAGAUACCGUCGUAGUCUUAACCAUAAACUAUGCCGACUAGGGAUCGGACGGUGUUAUUCAUGACCCGUUCGGCACCUUACGAGAAAUCAAAGUGCUUGGGCUCCAGGGGGAGUAUGGUCGCAAGGCUGAAACUUAAAGAAAUUGACGGAAGGGCACCACCAGGGGUGGAGCCUGCGGCUUAAUUUGACUCAACACGGGGAAACUCACCAGGUCCAGACACAAUAAGGAUUGACAGAUUGAGAGCUCUUUCUUGAUUUGUGGGUGGUGUGCAUGGCCGUCUUAGUGGUGGGGUGACUUGUCUGCUUAAUUGCGAUAACGACGAGACCUUACCUGCUAAAUAGCCCGCAUUGCUCCGGCAGUGCGCUGGCUUCUUAGAGGACUUCGGCUCAAG
rnacentral:rRNA from 1 species